UACGUAGGGUGCGAGCGUUAAUCGGAAUUACUGGGCGUAAAGCGUGCGCAGGCGGCUUUGCAAGACAGAUGUGAAAUCCCCGGGCUCAACCUGGGAACUGCAUUUGUGACUGCAAGGCUAGAGUACGGCAGAGGGGGAUGGAAUUCCGCGUGUAGCAGUGAAAUGCGUAGAUAUGCGGAGGAACACCAAUGGCGAAGGCAAUCCCCUGGGCCUGUACUGAUGCUCAUGCACGAAAGCGUGGGGAGCAAACAGG
rnacentral:rRNA from 1 species